ensembl:snRNA U4 U4 spliceosomal RNA
AGCUUUGCGCAGUAGCAGUAUCAUAGACAGUGAUGCUUAUCCGAGCCGUGAUUAUUGCUAAUUGAAAACAUAAAGUUCCUAAAGAUGAUUAAUUUUUUUUCUGUGGUGCUAGGAUUGACCCAAGGUUUUGUGCAUACUAGGCAAGUGCUCUACCAC